rnacentral:lncRNA from 1 species
CUCCUUUAUAGUCAACCCCCACCACACGUUAUCGUCGUCAUUUUGAAUACCCAAAGGCACUUUUAAGAGCCACGUCCAUCUGUCUGCCUUUCUGUCUGGCUGUCUGUCUAUCUAUCUGCCUGUUUGGCUGUCUAACUGUCUGUCUGCCUAUCUGUCUGUCUGUCUGUCUGUCUGUCUGUCUGUCUGUCUGUCUGCCUGCCUGCCUGCCUGCCUGCCUGCCUGCCUGCCUGCCUGCCUGCCUGUCUGUCUGUCUGUCUGUCUGUCUGUCUGGGUCAGUCUGUUUGUGUUGCAAUGGCCAUGAGACAUACCAUUGACCGCCAGCAUCCCAGCUACAAAGAGGGGAAACGUAAAUUGCUUGAAAGUAAACAAGACCACCUUAUAGCUGAAGCUGAGAGAGCCGUUGAGGAGAGGAAACGUGCGCGUUCUGGUGGAGGACCUCCAUGUGGCUCCACUAGUGACGGUGCAAGACGAGGCAAGCCGAGGGGGAGGCGUGGAGGGCGACGCGGAGGGCGACGCAAAGCCUCAGCCACAGUCACGUUCCCCCCAGCUGAGUGCUCCCCGUCAUCCCAUGAGGACGUUCCGCUUACUGUACCUUCAGCGCAACUGAAUCCUCAAGAGGCAUUUGAAAAGUUUGUGGAGAGGCUUUCAUCUCUAAAUGCCUCUGGUCCUUCUGCCAAGCCUCAAAGAAGCUCUGCAUCUUCAUGGACUUUUCGGCAGCAGAAAGCCUCAGAGCGCUGGACAGAAGCACGACCAAACCACCUACAAGGCCUCAUUGAAAAGGAGGCUGUUGGUCAUCCCUUGUGUUGCCUCUGCCCCAAGCCGGCUGUUAUUAGGUGCAGAGAGUGUCUCCCUGAAGAGUGGUUCUGUGGGGACUGCGAUGUACUGCAUCACAAAAAACAGCCACUCCACAACAGGGAAUGUCUGAUACGUGGGUUCUUUGAACCCAUUCCUCCAACCACACGCGUCAUGAAAGGGGAGGAUGGAUAUUUCACUCAGGAGCAAGGACGUUAUGACUUGCAUCAGCCACUGUAUGUAUGUCAGACGUGCCAGCAGCAGAGGACCCCUGACAUGAAGCACUUCCUUCAGAGUGGAUAUUGGCCAGCCUCUCUCAAUACUUCCACGUUGUACACGUUGGACCUCUUGAGCUCCUUUCAGGAACUGAAAGUAAUCUCUCCGGGAUUCUCCAGACAGGCCUUCGCAAAGCUCCUGGAGCAUCGCACCAAGUGUGGAGGACGAGUUAGUAUUAUUGUUCUUGGACAUAUUACAACAUUUCUGUGCAUAAGCAGACAACAUCCCAAAUAUUUUUUUAUUCUAUGUAUCUUCCAGUCUGGACAUAUCAAAGGUGACACCCUGCAGCGCAGCUUCUUGGAGUUUUCAUAUGCUUCGUUUGAGAAGGACCAACUCUGCUGUGGUGCUGUUUUCACCUGCACAGCCUGCACACCAGAAAUGUUGGCUGUUUCAGUUGAUGGAAACAGAAAGUUAUAUCGCUUUCGCCGAAAUGGAAGUUCUGGUGACCAUGCCUUUUUUGAAGGUUUAUUUGUGGCUGAAGACUUUGCAGUGUCUGGAUUUGUGGACAUGAUCCAGAAAGCUGUGAAAAAGGCAAGUUUGAAUCGUAAUUUGACAAAAUACUUCUGUUGCUAA